rnacentral:rRNA from 1 species
UCAAGUGAAGAAGCGCAUACGGUGGAUGCCUUGGCAGUCAGAGGCGAUGAAAGACGUGGUAGCCUGCGAUAAGCUUUGGGGAGUCGGCAAACAGACUGUGAUCCAGAGAUCUCUGAAUGGGGGAACCCACUCAGCAUAAGCUGAGUAUCUUGUACUGAAUACAUAGGUACAAGAGGCGAACCAGGGGAACUGAAACAUCUAAGUACCCUGAGGAAAAGAAAUCAACCGAGAUUCCCUUAGUAGUGGCGAGCGAACGGGGACCAGCCCUUAAGUUGAUUUGAGAUUAGUGGAACGCUCUGGAAAGUGCGGCCAUAGUGGGUGAUAGCCCCGUACACGAAAAUCUCUUGUCAAUGAAAUCGAGUAGGACGGAGCACGAGAAACUUUGUCUGAACAUGGGGGGACCAUCCUCCAAGGCUAAAUACUACUGACUGACCGAUAGUGAACCAGUACCGUGAGGGAAAGGCGAAAAGAACCCCGGAGAGGGGAGUGAAAUAGAACCUGAAACCGUAUGCGUACAAGCAGUGGGAGCCUACUUUGUUAGGUGACUGCGUACCUUUUGUAUAAUGGGUCAGCGACUUAUAUUCAGUGGCGAGCUUAACCGAAUAGGGGAGGCGUAGCGAAAGCGAGUCUUAAUAGGGCGUUUAGUCGCUGGGUAUAGACCCGAAACCGGGCGAUCUAUCCAUGGGCAGGUUGAAGGUUAGGUAACACUGACUGGAGGACCGAACCGACUACCGUUGAAAAGUUAGCGGAUGACCUGUGGAUCGGAGUGAAAGGCUAAUCAAGCUCGGAGAUAGCUGGUUCUCCUCGAAAGCUAUUUAGGUAGCGCCUCAUGUAUCACUGUAGGGGGUAGAGCACUGUUUCGGCUAGGGGGUCAUCCCGACUUACCAAACCGAUGCAAACUCCGAAUACCUACAAGUGCCGAGCAUGGGAGACACACGGCGGGUGCUAACGUCCGUCGUGAAAAGGGAAACAACCCAGACCGUCAGCUAAGGUCCCAAAGUCAUGGUUAAGUGGGAAACGAUGUGGGAAGGCUUAGACAGCUAGGAGGUUGGCUUAGAAGCAGCCACCCUUUAAAGAAAGCGUAAUAGCUCACUAGUCGAGUCGGCCUGCGCGGAAGAUGUAACGGGGCUCAAACCAUGCACCGAAGCUACGGGUAUCACCUUCUGGUGAUGCGGUAGAGGAGCGUUCUGUAAGCCUGUGAAGGUGAGUUGAGAAGCUUGCUGGAGGUAUCAGAAGUGCGAAUGCUGACAUGAGUAACGACAAUGCGAGUGAAAAACUCGCACGCCGAAAGACCAAGGUUUCCUGCGCAACGUUAAUCGACGCAGGGUUAGUCGGUCCCUAAGGCGAGGCUGAAAAGCGUAGUCGAUGGAAAACAGGUUAAUAUUCCUGUACUUCCAGUUAUUGCGAUGGAGGGACGGAGAAGGCUAGGCCAGCUUGGCGUUGGUUGUCCAAGUUUAAGGUGGUAGGCUGAGAUCUUAGGCAAAUCCGGGAUUUCAAGGCCGAGAGCUGAUGACGAGUGCUCAUUAGAGCGCGAAGUGGUUGAUGCCAUGCUUCCAAGAAAAGCUCCUAAGCUUCAGAUAACUGGGAACCGUACCCCAAACCGACACAGGUGGUUAGGUAGAGAAUACCAAGGCGCUUGAGAGAACUCGGGUGAAGGAACUAGGCAAAAUGGCACCGUAACUUCGGGAGAAGGUGCGCCGGCGAGGGUGAAGGACUUGCUCCGUAAGCCCAUGCCGGUCGAAGAUACCAGGCCGCUGCGACUGUUUAUUAAAAACACAGCACUCUGCAAACACGAAAGUGGACGUAUAGGGUGUGACGCCUGCCCGGUGCCGGAAGGUUAAUUGAUGGGGUUAGCGCAAGCGAAGCUCUUGAUCGAAGCCCCGGUAAACGGCGGCCGUAACUAUAACGGUCCUAAGGUAGCGAAAUUCCUUGUCGGGUAAGUUCCGACCUGCACGAAUGGCGUAACGAUGGCGGCGCUGUCUCCACCCGAGACUCAGUGAAAUUGAAAUCGCUGUGAAGAUGCAGUGUAUCCGCGGCUAGACGGAAAGACCCCGUGAACCUUUACUAUAGCUUUGCACUGGACUUUGAAUUUGCUUGUGUAGGAUAGGUGGGAGGCUUUGAAGUGGGGAC